rnacentral:rRNA from 1 species
AUUGAACGCUGGCGGCAUGCCUUACACAUGCAAGUCGAACGGUAACAGGGAGCUUGCUCCGCUGACGAGUGGCGAACGGGUGAGUAAUGCAUCGGAACGUACCCAGUAGUGGGGGAUAACGCAGCGAAAGCUGUGCUAAUACCGCAUACGCACUGAGGUGGAAAGCAGGGGACCUUCGGGCCUUGUGCUAUUGGAGCGGCCGAAGUCAGAUUAGCUAGUUGGUGGGGUAAAAGCUCACCAAGGCGACGAUCUGUAGCUGGUCUGAGAGGAUGAUCAGCCACACUGGGACUGAGACACGGCCCAGACUCCUACGGGAGGCAGCAGUGGGGAAUUUUGGACAAUGGGGGCAACCCUGAUCCAGCCAUGCCGCGUGAGUGAAGAAGGCCUUCGGGUUGUAAAGCUCUUUCGGCCGGGAAGAAAUCGCCAUCUCUAACAUAGGUGGUGGAUGACGGUACCGGAAUAAGAAGCACCGGCUAACUACGUGCCAGCAGCCGCAGUAA